AUCAUUACACAAAUAUGAAGGCGGGCUGGAAUCUCUCGGGGUUACAGCCUUGCUGAAUUAUUCACCCUUGUCUUUUGCGUACUUCUUGUUUCCUUGGUGGGUUCGCCCACCACUAGGACAAACAUAAACCUUUUGUAAUUGCAAUCAGCGUCAGUAACAAAUUAAUAAUUACAACUUUCAACAACGGAUCUCUUGGUUCUGGCAUCGAUGAAGAACGCAGCGAAAUGCGAUAAGUAGUGUGAAUUGCAGAAUUCAGUGAAUCAUCGAAUCUUGAACGCACAUUGCGCCCUUUGGUAUUCCAAAGGGCAUGCCUGUUCGAGCGUCAUUUGUACCCUCAAGCUUUGCUUGGUGUUGGGCGUCUUGUCUCUAGCUUUGCUGGAGACUCGCCUUAAAGUAAUUGGCAGCCGGCCUACUGGUUUCGGAGCGCAGCACAAGUCGCACUCUCUAUCAGCAAAGGCCUAGCAUCCAUUAAGCCUUUUUUCAACUUUUGACCUCGGAUCAGGUAGGGAUACC
rnacentral:rRNA from 1 species